rnacentral:tRNA from 1 species
GGGCAAUUAACUCAGAGGUAGAGUGCUUCCUUCACACGGAAGAAGCCACUGGUUCAAUUCCAGUAUUGCCCA